AACGAACGCUGGCGGCAUGCCUAACACAUGCAAGUCGAACGAUGCCUCCGGGCAUAGUGGCGCACGGGUGCGUAACGCGUGGGAAUCUGCCCUUGGGUUCGGAAUAACUCGCCGAAAGGCGAGCUAAUACCGGAUGAUGACGUAAGUCCAAAGAUUUAUCGCCCAAGGAUGGGCCCGCGUAGGAUUAGCUAGUUGGUGGGGUAAAGGCCCACCAAGGCGACGAUCCUUAGCUGGUCUGAGAGUAUGAUCAGCCACACUGGGACUGAGACACGGCCCAGACUCCUACGGGAGGCAGCAGUGGGGAAUAUUGGACAAUGGGCGAAAGCCUGAUCCAGCAAUGCCGCGUGAGUGAUGAAGGCCUUAGGGUUGUAAAGCUCUUUUACCCGGGAUGAUAAUGACAGUACCGGGAGAAUAAGCUCCGGCUAACUCCGUG
rnacentral:rRNA from 1 species